AGUCACUGACAUUAGAUACCCGGGUAGUCCUGGCCGUAAACGAUGUGGACUUGGUGUUGGAAUGGCUCCGAGCUGCUCCAGCGCCGAAGGGAAGCUGUUAAGUCCACCGCCUGGGAAGUACGGUCGCAAGACUGAAACUUAAGGAUUGGCGGGGGAGCACCACGACGCGUGGAGCCUGCGGUUUAAUUGGAUUCAACGCCGGAAAUCUUACCGGGACCGACAGCAACAUGAAGGCCAAGCUGAAGACUUUGCCGGAUUUAGCUG
rnacentral:rRNA from 1 species